rnacentral:rRNA from 1 species
AAUGAACGCUGGCGGCGCGCCUAAUACAUGCAAGUCGAGCGAGAAGACGUAGCAAUACGUUUGUAAAGCGGCGAACGGGUGAGGAAUACAUGGGUAACCUACCCUAGAGUGGGGAAUAACUAGCCGAAAGGUUAGCUAAUACCGCGUACGCUCCUUGGACUUCGGUUCAGGGAGGAAAGCGAUGCCGAGGGUAUCGCGCUCUUGGAUGGGCUCAUGUCCUAUCAGCUUGNGGUGAGGUAACGGCUCACCAAGGCUUCGACGGGUAGCUGGUCUGAGAGGACGAUCAGCCACACUGGCACUGCGACACGGGCCAGACUCCUACGGGAGGCAGCAGUAAGGAAUAUUGCGCAAUGGGCGAAAAGCCUGACGCAGCGACGCCGCGUGGGGGA